rnacentral:rRNA from 1 species
UAAGCCACCGAAAGGUGGUCUAAUACUUCAUAAUAUCCAUCUCGUAUGGAUUAAAGCUUUAUGCGCUUUGGGAGGGGCCUGCGUAACAUUAGCUUGUUGGUGAGGUAAAAGCUCACCAAGGCUUCGAUGUUUAACUGGUUUGAGAGGAUGACCAGUCACACUGGGACUGAGAUACGGCCCAGACUCCUACGGGAGGCAGCAGUAAGGAAUCUUCCACAAUGGGGCAACCCUGAUGGAGCAAUACCGCGUGCAGGAUGAAGCGUUUCGGCGUGUAAACUGCUUUUAUCACCGAAGAUUAUGACUGUAGGUGAAGAAUAAGGACCGGCUAACUACGUG